GUAAAGGCUCUUUUAAGAGCCACCACUUUGCACAAGAGAGCUGUGG
rfam:Buceros rhinoceros silvestris contig61555, whole genome shotgun sequence.